GCAUCUCUGAAGAGUCCCAGACUAGGACGGAACAGCUGUCCAGUAC
rnacentral:hammerhead_ribozyme from 1 species